UACAGAGGGUGCUAGCGUUGUUCGGAAUCAUUGGGCGUAAAGGGCGUGUAGGCGGUUUGUUAAGUCAUGUGUGAAAUCCCUCGGCUCAACCGGGGAACGACGCAUGAAACUGGCAAGCUAGAGUACCAAAGAGGGGGGUGGAAUUCCCGGUGUAGCGGUGAAAUACGUAGAUAUCGGGAGGAACACCUGUGGCGAAGGCGGCCCCCUGGUUGGAUACUGACGCUGAUACGCGAAAGCGUGGGGAGCAAACAGG
rnacentral:rRNA from 1 species